AGGGAAGAGAGGGGGGGCAAAAAAAAGAUACAGGACACUGAGCAUGCGCAGUAAGAGCCACGCCGUGUUUGCUCUUCCCUCCCACAAACAACACAGUUGCCUGAUGUUUUCAGACACAUUUUCCCUCCAUCUGAACCAAAUAGGAGGACUAGGAUGUGCUGAACAUGUCCUUAGUUAGAUAAGUAUUUUUUUUUUUUUUUUUAGUCUGUAG